rnacentral:rRNA from 1 species
AACGAACGCUGGCGGCAUGCCUAACACAUGCAAGUCGAACGAGCCCUCCGGGUCUUGUGGCGCAUGGGUGCGUAACGCGUGGGAACCUGCCCUUAUGUUCGGAAUAACUCCCCGAAUGGGGUGCUAAUACCGGAUAAUGUCUUCGGACCAAAGAUUUAUUGCCUUUGGUUGUACCCGCGUUGGAUUAGCUAGUUGGUAGGGUAAAAGCAUACCACGGCGACGAUCCAUAGCUGGUUUGGGAGGAUGAUCAGCGACACUGGGACUGAGACACGGCCCAGAAUCCUACGGGAGGCGGCAGAGGGGGAUAUUGGACAAUGGGGGAAAGGCUGAACGAGCAAUGCCGGGUAAGUGAUGAAGGCAGUAGGGUAGUAAAGCUCAUGUACCCGGGAUGAUAAUGACGGUACCGGGAGAAUAAGCUCCGGCUAACUCCGUG